GACGAACGCUGGCGGCGUGCUUAACACAUGCAAGUCGAACGGAAAGGCCCUGCUUUUGUGGGGUGCUCGAGUGGCGAACGGGUGAGUAACACGUGAGUAACCUGCCCUUGACUUUGGGAUAACUUCAGGAAACUGGGGCUAAUACCGGAUAGGAGCUCCUGCUGCAUGGUGGGGGUUGGAAAGUUUCGGCGGUUGGGGAUGGACUCGCGGCUUAUCAGCUUGUUGGUGGGGUAGUGGCUUACCAAGGCUUUGACGGGUAGCCGGCCUGAGAGGGUGACCGGCCACAUUGGGACUGAGAUACGGCCCAGACUCCUACGGGAGGCAGCAGUGGGGAAUAUUGUACAAUGGGCGGAAGCCUGAUGCAGCAACGCCGCGUGCGGGAUGACGGCCUUCGGGUUGUAAACCGCUUUCGCCUGUGACGAAGCGUGAGUGACGGUAUGGGUAAAGAAGCACCGGCUAACUACGUG
rnacentral:rRNA from 1 species